rnacentral:lncRNA from 1 species
CUGGAGUGGAGGCGGGUUGUAAUGGUGGAAUAAAACAGGCGAUCCCGUCUGAAGAGAAGCUCCCUGGGAAGGGGGAGAGGAGACCCACCGAGGGGAAGUUGCGGCGACACAGGACAUUGUAAAAGACAAAAGCCCGGGCACUUACUGACCUUGUGGCAUAAGGAAGGCGUGAGUCUUACCUCUCUCCCUCGGAUGCCGCCCAGCUGUGGGGGUGUGAGCGGAGCGCUCCUCCGGGAUGCAGGGAGGUGAGCAGAGCGGCUCUCCCACGCCCCGGCACCCACACCAGCCCAGCCCGGGGGCAACUGACCAGCUCCUGAGCUUGGGAAUUGGCCUGCGGCGCGGCGCGUUCUGACGCACGGAUGAACUCCCCAGAUCUCUGCGCGGGGCUUGGACCCGAGCGCGCUCCUCCAGCGGCAGCGGCUGGUCCACGCCGGUACCCUCCCAGCUGCAGAAAGCUGGAGGGCUCCGGGCUGCUGCGGCUCGGUGAAAAGUGCGAGCAGGUCCCACUCCGCUCUGCUCAGCCCGUGUGGAAACACGGCCACAUCUCCGCCUCUGCUCAGUCCCUGGGCAAGGGCUGUCACAUCCCUCUGGAGCGCCAGCCACCUCUCUGCCUGCGCCCGGAUCUGCUGCGACCACGAGGAGACCAGCCACAGCCUGGGCAAAAUUAUCCUGCCACCUCUGGGCCUGCCACUCCUGCCAGACCAGGCUAAACCAGGAAUAAUCCAUCAAUGCGACUCCUUGGAUUUCAAUGGUAAGUCAGAUGUGAAAGCAAAAUUAGUACCUGGCGUGUUUCAUCAUCCGUUAUAUAAAGGGCUGCUUCACAGAGAGAAAACAACUCAUGUCCUGGAGUCUGCACUGGCUCCUGGUUAUUUUCCAGGUGGGAGUCAGGCUGUUGGUUUGCAUUUUGACCCAUAAAGCACUAACCAGUGUGGAUCCUGGCGACCUGGUCGCCUCUCUCUACACAUGACAUCAGGGGAGGAGCAUAUAUCAUUGGACCUUUGCAGCCAGAGCCAAAGGCCACUGAAGUUAAUGGAGAGAAUAACAGGGUGACCACCUCCAGAGAACCCCCUCCUGGUGAGGGGCAGCUCUGCAGCAGCACUGCCUCAGCUUCUCUUUUGCAGGGCUCCUCAGAAACUCCACAGCAUGGUUUGGCUACUGCAGUGACUUGGCCUCCUCCUAAACCAUUAACAAAAUCCCACCCCUUUCAGGGCAUACCAAUCCUAAAACAAGCACAAAACCACACAGACUUCAUGCCAGUUUCAGACAGGGCCAAGCCCCUAAUUUCGGAGGGCUUGGUCUGUCUCAUCAGCCCACCUUCUGUCUCUUCUUACAGCCCUUCCCAGGACUGUUCAGUGCCUCCACCGCAGCUCCUCCUAGCCUCCCUCACAUUGCUUUUAAGUGAGCAUCCGCUCCCAUAACUUGCUUCAUAGAAUCAGAGGGUUAGAAGGGACCGUAAGGGACCUCUAGUCUAAACCCCUGCCACGAUGCAGGACUUAUUGUAUCUAACCCAUCCCAGACAGACGGCUCCAGCCUCCGUCUGAAAACCUCCAGAGAAGGAGUUUCCACAAGCUCCCGAGGGGUCUGUCCCAUCGUCCUACUCUUCUUACAGUUAGGAUGUUUUUCCAGAGAUUUAAUCUACAUCUGCUGUGGUGUAGUUUGACCCCAUCACCCCUUGUCCUGCCCUCUGUGGCAAGAGAGAACAACUUUUCUCCAUCUUUUUUAAUGGCAGCCUUCCAAGUAUCUGAACACUGCUAUCAUGUCCCCCCUUAAUCUCCUCUUUUCCAAACAAAACAUAGCCAGUUCCUUCAAUCUUUGCUCGUAUGGCUUGUGUUCCAUCCCUCUCAUCAUCUUUGUCACUCGCCUCUGGAGCCUUUCCAGUUUUUCCACAUCCUUUCUAGACAUUGGUGACCAAAACUGGACACCAUACUCCAGCUGAGGCCUAACCAGCACUGAGCAGAGUGGUACUAUCGCCUCCCAUGACUUGCCUGCUAUACCUCUUUUCAUGCAACCUAAAAUUGCAUUUGCUUUUGUGCAACAGCAUCGCACUGCUGACUCCUGCUGAGGUUGUGAUCCACCACAGCUCCCAGAUCCUUCUCAGCAAUGGUGCUGCCAAGCUGGUUAUCUCCCAUUCUGUAUCUGUGCAUUAGUUUUUUCUUCCCUACCUUACAUUUGUCUUUGUUGAAUUUCAUUUUGUCGUCUAUAGCCCAGUUCUCCAAUUUAUCAAGAUCCCUCUGAAUCUUAGCUCUAUCCUCCAAAGUGUUGGCAAUGCCCCCAGCUUUGUGUCAUCUGCACAUCUUUUCAGCAUGCUCUCUAUUCCUAUAUCCAGGUCAUUAAUAAAGACGUUAACACCAGACCCA